rnacentral:rRNA from 1 species
AAUCUUCCACAAUGGACGAAAGUCUGAAGGAGCAACGCCGCGUGAGUGAAGAAGGUUUUCGGUUCGUAAAGCUCUGCUGUAAGGGAAGAACAAGUACAGGAGUCACUGUCUGUACCUUGCCGGUACCUUAUCAGAAAGCCUCGGCUCACUCCGUGCCAGCAGCCGCGCUAAUACGUAGGUGGCAAGCGUUGUCCGGAAUUAUUGGGAGUAAAGCGCGCGCAGGCGGUCCUUUAAGUCUGAUGUGAAAGCCCACGGCUCAACCGUGGAGGGUCAUUGGAAACUGGAGGACUUGAGUACAGAAGAGGAAAGCGGAAUUCCACGUGUAGCGGUGAAAUGCGUAGAGAUGUGGAGGAACACCAGUGGCGAAGGCGGCUUUCUGGUCUGUAACUGACGCUGAGGCGCGAAAGCGUGGGGAGCAAACA